rnacentral:rRNA from 1 species
UGGGGAAUAUUGCACAAUGGGCGCAAGCCUGAUGCAGCCAUGCCGCGUGUAUGAAGAAGGCCUUCGGGUUGUAAAGUACUUUCAGCGGGGAGGAAGGGAGUAAAGUUAAUACCUUUGCUCAUUGACGUUACCCGCAGAAGAAGCACCGGCUAACUCCGUGCCAGCAGCCGCGGUAAUACGGAGGGUGCAAGCGUUAAUCGGAAUUACUGGGCGUAAAGCGCACGCAGGCGGUUUGUUAAGUCAGAUGUGAAAUCCUCGGGCGCAACCUGGGAACUGCAUCUGAUACUGGGAAGCUUGAGUCUCGUAGAGGGGGGUAGAAUUCCAGGUGUAGCGGUGAAAUGCGUAGAGAUCUGGAGGAAUACCGGUGGCGAAGGCGGCCCCCUGGACGAAGACUGACGCUCAGGUGCGAAAGAGUGGGGAGCAAACAGG